rnacentral:rRNA from 1 species
UACGAAGGGGGCUAGCGUUGUUCGGAAUUACUGGGCGUAAAGCGUGCGCAGGCGGUUUCGUAAGUCUGUCGUGAAAUCCCCGGGCUUAACCUGGGAAUGGCGAUGGAGACUGCGAGGCUAGAGUUUGGCAGAGGGGGGUAGAAUUCCACGUGUAGCAGUGAAAUGCGUAGAGAUGUGGAGGAACACCGAUGGCGAAGGCAGCCCCCUGGGUCAAAACUGACGCUCAUGCACGAAAGCGUGGGGAGCAAACAGG